rnacentral:lncRNA from 1 species
AUUUAUAUUGAAAACAUUCCAUUGUUCCUUGCAGUAUAGAAGGCAAAUGCAAUUAUAGUCUUUAUUAUAGUAGGAGACCAUUUUGUAUUACACACAAACAUGUCUGCUAAUGAACUGAUGAUAUGUUAAAUAAUUAGGUCAUUAUCCUUUAAAAUGGUGUAUAUUAUGAAAAAUACUUAAAAGUUUUCUUUUAUCAUAGUGUUUUAGUGAUGACUGAGAAAAUAGGUUGAGUUUUUUUAAAGGGAGAUGGAUAAGAGCUUUUUCAAAUUUAAGAUAAUGCAAUGUAAGUGUUUGCCACCAAAAAUUAUUAUUCAAGCACACAGGAUAAUGAAAAUUGCUUGUACUUGAAAAGUCGAGUCAGGAAGAAAACUGUGUAGGCAGUUCUUCAAGGGAGAAAGAAAGGGACAAGAUAAAAUGAUAACUAAAAAUUGGACAUAAGAGAGACAGUGUCCAGGAAAGUACAUUUGCAUUAAAAAGUGCAACGGACAGAAAGAUUAGCAACACAUUCAGUGAAGUGGACAUAAAACAAGGCAAGUGGCAGGCAUCCUACCAAGGAACAAACAGAGAACUAAAGCAGUUCAGCACAGUAUGCUGGAAAGAAGAAAUACCGAAAGGGACUGAGCAGUGAAUAGCAAACAGAAGGAGGUGCCUGACAGCAAGAUCUUAGUGAAUACACAGGAGUGACACACAGUGUAUGGGUGGUUAACAAUGUGCUCUUCCAAGGCAGAAAAAGAAAAACAACAGAAUAAAGGGAAAAGGCAUUUAAAAUUUACCUUAGGAUGGGAAAAGUCAUGCGAGGAUGACAUACUAAAAAAUAAGAUUUGCCACUAUAAUCGUAUCAUAUGGAACAAGGAAGAAAACAAGUGAUGGACACUAAAUAAAAAGAGCACUGCAUGGAUUUGGCAACAUUUCAGAGUAACUUAAGUAAACACAGGGCAAAUCAGCUUCACAAUAAGGAAACCCAGAAACAAUGAGGUCAGAAGAACAAGAGCAUAAAUUAAGAAAAGAGUUAUAUGAUUAAAGAUGGACCAAAGAUAUGGAAGGGAAAAAGGGUGAGGUAGAAAAGAAGCAAGUCAGAAGACAACUAUAUGCAUCAGAGUAGAAUAUUAGAAAAAGGCAAAAACAAAAAAGGUGGAGAGGCACCGUAGAUUGAGUAGUAUACUUAAAUGUGAUUCCAAAAAGGAGGAAAGAAGUUCAGAAAUGAGUAGAGGAACUGAGCUGAGACAGGGGAAAGGGAACCAGGAAAUGGAAUUGAAGGGUGCACAUCCACAUCUAGAAAGGGCUGCUCACUGCACCAGAAAGACAGUGGUAAACAGAUUAUAGUGGCACAGGGGCUUCAAAGUGUCAAAGAAGAGAAAAAGAGGUGCAGAAUGGAUUGCCAAAUGAGCUUCCAGGUAGGACUAAGAGAGUCUUUAAGAAAAUCCAAAAAUGAGAUGAAAACAUCCUGAAUAAUAAUGAAAAGAUAGGAAAGAUGCAUGGAUUAACAGUAUGAAGAUAAUGAAAAUACUAUAGUACAGUAAAAAGAAUGCAUGAUGGGGAUAAGAGGAGUGGGGAGUAACUGGAGGCAGUCCUAAAGGUGGAAUCUUGCCACCUGUGUCACAGUAUGUAAACUUCAAGGAUAGGAAAUAUUAAAAUAAGAACAGAAAAUAUUGUACGGGUGUGGAAGCUAUCAGGCCGAUACGAAGGGGGUUUAGAGUAUAGGUCGCUUUCAUGUACUGAAGGGUCAAAGUUUCAAUGUAGAUCUUUAAGAGAAAUCCUUUUCAAGAGUCGGAGGGCGAGUGUGGAGUAGAGAAACGAGGCAUGGGAAGAAUGGGGUGGAAGGAUGCCAGAGGAAGAAAAGGAAAUGUGCAGAAGAAAAGGAAAUGUGCAAAAGAAAGUGCUUCCAUGGGAAGACUACCAGGUUAGUUAGAAUGCGAAAAACACAAAAAAUGCUAAGUAAGAAGUAUAAAAAGCACAUGAAAGAAGUAGUAAAAAAACGAACAAACAAAAACAGGUAUAAAGGGGCAUUCUGGCCCUUCAAAACAAUGAUCUUCAACAGUAAAUGCAAGCACAAGAAGGCUCCAGGCUUGGGAGGCCAAGGUGGGUGGAUCGCUUGAGGUCAGGAGUUCGAGACCAGCCUGGCCAACAUGGCGAAACCCUGUCUCUACUUAAAAAGAAAAAAAUCAGCUGGGCGUGGUGGUGGAUGCCUGUAAUCCCAGCUACUUGGGAGGCUGAGGCAGGAGAAUUGCUUGAAGUCCAGAGGUGAGGGUGCAGUGAGCCGAGAUCGCACCACUGCACUCCAGCCUUGGGCGACAGAGUGAAACUCUUCUCUCAAAAAAAAAAAAAAAGAAGGCUCCAGGCCUCAAACGGGAGACUGAAGUGCAGGGAGUCCAGGUGGCCAUAGGGAGUCAAGGUGGCUGUCCACAUCAGUGAUUCUUAUCUGAGGUGGGGGGUGGGUUUCACCCGAGGGAGGGCUGGGGGCAUGGACCCCCAGGCAGGCCUAUCCAAUCAUCUGAAGGGUGAGCAGUGUUCAGCUCAGAAAAAGUAAAGGAAAAAAAAAGCAAUCUCUAAAAGGAACAUAGACAAUAGCAAAAGAAGAAACCGAGCCCAAAAGAUGCUUCUGAUAGGCCGCCUUGGGGUCCUGCAUCCUCGGGUGAGAAUCACUGGUGGAUGUGGGAGGAUGGAGAGCCGGGCAGAUACGUGGAGUGCGAGGGGAAGACGCACGUGCAGUGGGGCUGAUGGAGGCCAUCAGGGUCAAGACUGUCAGGUGUGGGAACACAGUUCCCGACAGACCAGGACAAGGAUGACAGCUAACAAAUGGAUGUAGCUGAAAAGGCAAUGGGACCACGGUGGUGCAGCUGGGGUUUCCAACGCCUCGGUCCCAGACUCAAGGACUCAGGUGGAGGAGUGAGGCCCAGAGAAGGGCCCAGUGACUCAGAGGAAGUGGGCUGUGCGGGUGAGAGCAGAGAGCAGGGGAUCUGUUGUCACGGGGAGGAAAGGCACAAAGGGGAAUGGAGACAGCGUGGAAGGAGAGCGUCUUGAAGACAUCGGUGCUAAGGAGGGAGGAGGCAGGAGGAGGGUGGGACUGACAGGAGCACCCAGGAGGAGCGGAGGAGCCGGGUCUCAGGCAGGGCGGGAGAGUCAGGUUGAGACUGGGUGCGUUUGUGCUGGCGGGGCAGGGGGAUGAGGGUGGGUAGGUGGAGGCGGGACAGGAGUGAGCGCUGAUGACAAAAGUGCUGUGGUGACAGGAAGAAGGUAGGAAAUUCACAGGCGCAUGUUCCCCAGAGUGUUUUCACAAGAAUGUGAAAGAAAGGAUGCAAAGGGAAUUGAGAAGGUUUUGGGGAGUCAGGGUUGUGGGGUGCUGGAAGGUACCCAUAGCCUGGACCACUGGGAUGUGGACACUGAUAGCUGGGCAGAGCAGGUGGAUUCAGUGCAGUACGUGUGAUGCAGAGAUGACUGCAUCUGGUGGAGCAGCGGGUGCGGGGCCAGGUCAAGAAGGGAGGAGGUACCUGAGUUCACGACUUAGGCCAGUGGGAGAAUCACAGAUUGUGCUGAAAAAAUGCAGGAGGGUGCAGGUGGGACAGUACCGUGCUAUGCAGUAGAGGAGGAAAGCAGGAGAAACGACCAACCUGCGCCCCAGGGGCUGACUGCUGGGACAUCAGGGGAUGAGUUUGCAACACAUGGGAGAGGAGGACAGAGGAGAGGUGUUCCCUAAUGGGCAAGAAGAAUGAGUCGGAGCAGGCAAUGGAGCCCAGCAGCUAAGAGAGGAGAGCCUGUUGAGAGCAGGAGGGAUGCGCUGCAGUAAAGGAGGCAUGCCAGGCGCCAAGAGGGAGGGAGCGGAUGCAGAGAAUCCAGGGACUUUACCCCAGAUGGGGCAAAGUGUGUGACGCAGUUCAUGGAUGACAAAGCAUAGUGUGGGUAAGAUAAGCAAGGAAUGAAAGAGAGGUGGGAGGAGGCCAAGGGAGAAGCAGGGCAUAGAAGUGCUGCUACCUUGGAAACACAGGGGACCACGUGUCAAUGAAGGGUGUGGUGAGAUGAUGAAAGGUCAGGUGGAUUGAGUUCGACAGAGGAAAGGACUGUGUCCGCCAUGGUGGAACAGACAAGGUAGGAUGGUUUCAAACAGCAGAUGGACUCAGUACAGCAUGCUGGGGAUAAAGAGGCUGUGGCAAUGGUGGCAGCAGUGAGGGUAGGGAAGGAAGAAUUGGAUGCUGAAGACGAAGUGGAGGGUGUCUGGAAGAGAACAGUGGGAGAAAAUGGGUGGAUGAGUGAUGCAAGGUUUUAAUGUGAAUCCUGAGGAGAAAAAGAGAGACGUGGGAGUGGGGCAGCCAUUUGAGGUGGCAUAUGGGAUGCAUGUUGGGUCACGUAAGUGAAUAGGAAAAGAAAGGGACUGAAAGCAUUUAACAGGAGACAACCUCACAAAUCUGUGGGGGUGAUGAAUGCUGGUCAAGGGGCCAAGGUGGAAAAGUGAGGGGAAUGCAGAGUUCUCAAACUGGGGCACUGACAGAUCUCAUGUGAAAAGUUGGUUUCAUGACCGUCAUCAAGGCCAGACUGUAGGAUCAGAGCAGAUGCAAGAGCCCAGGAAUAUGCGGAACUAGGUCCACAGGAGAAUGUGGGGGAUGGGGACAAAUGACUCAGGUUAAAUGAAGGAAAUAGCAUCACUGCAUGGUAAGAUGGCACUGGGCAUGGUAACCUCAGGGACUUGGCAAUGGACUCGUGGUUUGAGUCUAUUGUGUGGGUAGAAAGAUGCUUGCAAAUAGUGGAGGAGUAGUUAGGAACCAAUGCAGAGGAAGCAAUUCAGAAUGAUCACUGAAUCUGAGCUUCUGCUGUCACGGAAGGCUAAAAGGAUAGAGAUAUAGCUUACAGCUGAAAGUAUGUACAUAGAGAUGAAAUAAAGUAGGCAAGGGAGAGUCUCAAACACAGUGGGUCUCGUAGUUGUAAUGGGAGUUUAGAUCAGUAUCAGCUGGGUACAUGGGACAGAGUAUGGCCAAGGACUGGAGAGAGCUGGGGUGUUUGGUGCUGGAGUGUGGACUUCAUUUAUGGAAAACUUCAUCUAGAGGAAAACAGGAGGAAAAGCAGAGGAGGACAGAGAGUGGGACCUAUGUAAGAAGGUCUUAAAUUCUACACACGGGUGUUGUGAAGGUAGUGCAACCAAGAGGGAAAGAAGAAAUGAGUGACCUGGACAGCCUGAAUGGGUAACGAAAGGGUAGAUGUGAUGGGCAGGGAUGCAUCAGCUCACUGGGGCCGCACCUGAGGUAAAUGGAAAUAAAGGAGGUGAGGAAAGGAGGAAGAGAAGGAAGUGGCGGGACUGGCUGUGGAGUUUUGUGGGAGCCUUCUUGAUGGGACAGAAAGAAAAAAGAGGAGAAAAGGCUGGAGUGUAAGAGGGGAAGGAAAAGGCAGCCUAAGGGAAGGCGCUGGCCUGAAUCAGUGGAAGAUCUGGAGGAGCAACAGAAAACAGUUCUUGAAGAGAAGGUGGGAUAGAGAGAGGAAGGAAAAGUUUGAGCGGUGAGGAGAGCAGGUCAAAGUAGUGAGCACAUCCCUAUGGAGAAGAGAUGACUGAGCCCGAUGAAGCAAUAGGCCCUGGGUGGUUGAGAGAAAUAUGGGCCACAGACAGGCAGGUACCUUCCCUUGGCCAAGGAAGCAAGGAGAAGAAAUGUGGACGCAAGGGGAAAGGCUUCAAGAAAGAAUGUGGAAGUGGGACGAUAAGGCAGCGCAACGGGGGAGUCACCUACAGAAGACAGGGUGGAGGGGCCCCCAGGGAAGGAUGGAGGGCAGAAAGCGUGGUGGAAGGGAGCUGGGCAGGACAGCCACAGGCAGGACAGCCAUAGGUGGAGUGAGGUGAAGGGGCAGGUCCCAGAGUAGGAACAAAGGAAUUUGGAGUGCUCAGAGCAGCCUGCAAGGUUCGGCAUAGGGAACGGAAAGUGUAAAAGGGGUGGACAGCAAUAGACAGGAAGGAAUGGCUGUUUUUAAAGCCUUGAACUUUGUUGCAAAGGUGUGAAUCUUGGGCCAGGCUCUUUACUACGGAUCCGG